rnacentral:lncRNA from 1 species
AAGUGACAUAGAAAGUUCAGUUCAAUAUGGGGGAAAAUUGAAUUUAUCUUGGAAAUGUUUUAUUCUUCCAAAAUUUCACUUUGGCAAAGUCUAAUGCAUAGAAAAGCAUGAAAUACUACAGCUCCAGACCAAGCAAGUUGUUCCACUAAGCAUUAAGCCGCGGGGUCCGAAUUCUGCCUCUCUCCCGUCAACCACUCUCUUUAACUCAAAUGCCCAUCAACGUCCCGGCUAAAUGUGAGUUUUCCACGGAUCGCAUCUUAUCAUAAUGUCAUAAAACCCAUAGAAUUACAAAUCAGGUUUAAGGCAGAAAACAUGACAGGCAAAUAUAAGUACACAAAAAGUACAUUAAGGAUCCAUCUUCAUUUAUUCUCCCCAUUCCAACCUACCUCUCCGCGCAGACCCACUCCGUGCGGCGCUCAGCUUGAAGUAGCCUCAGAUCCAUUUUAAAGUGGACUGAAAUAUAAAUGACAGUUCACACUGCACAUGAACAUAGACAACCGUAUAAAAUAUUUAAAUAAAGACAAGAAAGAACAGAGGAUUGCAGCAAAGCCUUUGGCAGAACCAGCCUUGGGGAAUUUAGCAGCUUGAGAUUCAUUACAAAUUUCAUCUUUAAUGUUAUUUUUAGUUCAAUAUUUUGUAGCACUCAGAAGUAAAUCUUGGUGCGCUGUCUCCUCUCCCCUGCCUUUCUCUCCUUGGGUGUCUGAUCCUUCAGUUGUACUGAAACCUAAUACGUUUUCAAUAAAAUUGAUUUGUGACGUCGUAAUGCUGUUUGUUUACCAUCUCCCAUUCCUUGUUGUAAUGGGAGAGAACUAUUGCAUGAUUUGGCAAAGUGAGGAGGAUUGCUCUUGAUUGCAGAAUAAAUUGACAUGAACCUGGAAACA